AUGCCGGCCCUCGGGACGCUCUCCGCCGGCGGCGCCGCCGCCGGCGUCGCGGGCCUGCUCCGCCUCCGCCGCGGCCCCGCCCUCGCCUCGCCCCUGCCGGCCGCCGCCCGCGCCGGCGCCGUCCACGACGCCGGCCAGCUCGUCUGGGGCCGCCAGCUCCGCCCGGCCCUCGUCCUCCCCGCCGGCCUGCUCCCGCUCCAGGCCUCCAAGAGGCUCACGCUCCGACCGCCCGCCGCCUCCGCCGAGCCCGCCGGGGAGGCCAAGUCGCCAGGGUUGCUGGAGAAGUACCCUGCAAUCACCACCGGCUUCUUCUUCUUCAUGUGGUACUUCCUGAACGUCAUAUUCAACAUCCUUAACAAGAAGAUCUACAACUACUUCCCCUACCCAUACUUUGUCUCCGUGAUCCAUCUACUUGUGGGAGUUGUGUACUGCCUCCUCAGCUGGGCCGUCGGUCUCCCGAAGCGUGCGCCUAUCAAUGCAACGCUCCUGAAGCUGCUCUUUCCUGUGGCAUUGUGCCAUGCUCUUGGUCAUGUCACAAGCAACGUGUCCUUUGCUACUGUUGCAGUCUCGUUUGCCCACACUAUUAAAGCUUUGGAGCCCUUCUUCAAUGCAGCUGCUACCCAGUUUGUCCUUGGACAGACAGUUCCCUUGUCUCUGUGGUUGUCUCUUGCCCCUGUUGUGCUUGGUGUUUCAAUGGCAUCCCUCACUGAACUGUCGUUUAGCUGGAAGGGUUUCAUCAAUGCUAUGAUCUCUAACAUCUCAUUCACUUACCGGAGUAUUUAUUCCAAGAAAGCCAUGACUGACAUGGAUAGCACCAACGUGUAUGCUUACAUCUCAAUAAUUGCUCUAGUUGUCUGCAUACCGCCUGCACUUAUUAUUGAAGGACCACAGCUAAUGCAGUAUGGAUUAAACGAUGCAAUUGCAAAAGUAGGAAUGACAAAAUUUGUAUCAGAUCUUUUCCUGGUGGGAUUGUUCUACCAUCUCUAUAAUCAGAUUGCUACAAACACUUUGGAACGGGUGGCCCCUCUGACACAUGCUGUUGGCAAUGUGUUGAAAAGGGUUUUCGUCAUUGGUUUCUCGAUCAUCAUUUUUGGCAACAAAAUUACCACACAGACUGGAAUUGGGACUUGCGUUGCAAUAGCUGGUGUUGCCAUCUACUCGUACAUCAAAGCUAAGAUCGAGGAGGAGAAAAGGGCGAAGGCCGCGUGA
rnacentral:rRNA from 1 species